GAGGGGGGUGCAGGAUACCUGCGGCGCCCUCACCCUGAUCGUCCCCGAAAGAGCCUGAGAGGAUCGCAAAUCGUGAUCCUCUGUUUCGCUCUUCCCAAAAGGGGAACGAGAUUGAAGUCGGCAGGGGCUGCCGACUUCAGCCCGUAUCUCACACAGAGGUGACAGGCUGUUAGGGAUAUUACCGUGUUAGGUGCUACAACUUAUCUGCCAAAGGAAACAAGUGACACAUGACUGCAAACUCAGUAAGUUGAUUGAGAAACAUUUGUACGUGGCAGGUGUAUGAAAUCUCUUUUAGAUGUGUGAUGUGUUGAGUUUCUAGGACCUCAUAUAAGAUGUUGUGGACUUCUUUUGGACAACCAUCAAAUGAACCCUCCUUAGUAAAUAUUUGCUUCUUAGUAAGGACAAGGAGAACAAAUCAUAAGCCAAACAAAACUUGAUGACAAAACCUCAUAAGAUGACAACCCACCAAAUAUCCUUAGUAACAAGAAAAUAGCAAGAAAUUUCUAUCCAGGAUGCUAAACUGCUUUAGAAUAUCCAAAAGAAACUCACUCCUACACAAACUUCUUAAGCAUCUCAUAUUUCUAAGUAUCCCCAAGUAACUUGCUUCCCCAUACCUAUACCCAAAACCACUCCUGCACCCAUACCCACUCCAAAUAACUAGGAACCUGCUCAUGAAGUUGUUCUUUCCCCAAGACAAUUCUAGUAGGAAUGCGGAGGUUUCUACGAUAUAACUAAAUUUUCCCUCCUUAAUUACCACAUCUAAACCUAUUUAUAAAACCCAGGAAAACCAAAUCACCUUAUGAAAUAUCCAUCAAAAAACAGCUAAUUAUCGAACCCUUUUACAUAGUGCAGCCUAUAUGACCCAUGAAGCAAAUUAGGUGGAAAUUUACUACAAGCAUCAUUUCAAAAUUCGAA
rnacentral:lncRNA from 1 species